rnacentral:rRNA from 1 species
UACGGAGGGUGCAAGCGUUAUCCGGAUUUACUGGGUUUAAAGGGCGCGUAGGCGGUCAGCACAAGUCAGUUGUGAAAUCUCCGGGCUUAACUCGGAAAGGUCAACUGAUACUGUGCGACUAGAGUGCAGAAGGGGCAACUGGAAUUCUCGGUGUAGCGGUGAAAUGCGUAGAUAUCGAGAGGAACACCUGCGGCGAAGGCGGGUUGCUGGGCUGACACUGACGCUGAUGCGCGAAAGCCAGGGGAGCGAACGGG